UCCCGAAACCCAAUGGCGCAAUGAAACGUGAAGGCCCCUCGCGGGCUGCGUUGCGAUCCCGGACCGCACAGGGGUCCGAUAAAGGGAGCAGCAACGGCCCGUCCCAGGCGCUCACACGUCGCCGGGGCGGAGCGAGAGCGCACACGUUGGCACCCGAAAGAUGGUGAACUAUGCCCGGGCAGGACGAGGCCAGA
rnacentral:rRNA from 1 species